UCCACAUCAUUUCCAGAUUUUUCCUCAGGAGUCGAGCCGCCAUUUUUUCGAGUGAAGGUGACUUGGAUAAAAGAUUUUUUUCCAUGACUGGUGGGUGACUUCAGACUUGAACACUAUCUAAGGACUCUGGCGCCAAUGAUGCUCAGAGGGACCUGGAGCAGCUCACUUUGGCUGUGUUUGUCAUUCGGAAGGAGGGGGAA